rnacentral:rRNA from 1 species
UACGGGGGGGGCAAGCGUUGUUCGGAAUUACUGGGCGUAAAGGGCUCGUAGGCGGCCAACUAAGUCGGACGUGAAAUCCCUCGGCUUAACCGGGGAACUGCGUCCGAUACUGGAUGGCUUGAGUUUGGGAGAGGGAUGCGGAAUUCCCGUGAGUGAGCGUGAAAUGCGUAGAUAUCGGGAGGAAUACCGAUGGCGAAGGCAGGUCUCUGGGCUGACACUGACGCUCAUGCACGAAAGCGUGGGGAGCAAACAGG